rnacentral:misc_RNA from 1 species
UACAGAGGCCCCAAGCAUUAUCCGGAAUCAUUGGGCGUAAAGGGUGUGUAGGUGGUCUUAUUAGUCGUGUGUUAAAACCCCGGGCUUAACUCGGGACUCGCGCACGAAACGGUAAGACUAGAGGACAGGAGAGGUCUACGGAACUCAUGGUGUAGGGGUGAAAUCCGUUGAUAUCAUGAGGAACACCAAGAGCGAAGGCAGUAGACUGGCCUGUUCCUGACACUGAAACACGAAAGCCAGGGGAGCGAAUGGG